GGCAUGGUGCCUCACCCCUGUGAUCCCAGCACUCAGGAGGCUGAGGUGGGAGGAUCAUUGCAAGUUCGAGACCAGCCUGGGCUACAAAGUGAGCUCAAGUCCAGCCUGAACUGCAUAGUGAGACUCCACCUCAAAAAAGACAAAAAAAAAGUAUAGAUGAAAAAUAAAAAUAAACAAUAAAAAAAAUCAUAGAUUAUCCCUACUACCUUUUGUAUAAUGAGUUUACCAGAAUCAGUUUGGCAAAGUGAACUGAAGUCAACCACCCUGAAACCAAACAAGCUACUUCCAAACACCUAGCAGAGCAAACUCGGCUAUGUAACAAAAAAUAUUUUGAAGUAGAGGUGAAAAGCCAACCGAGUUUGGUGAUAGCUGGUUAUCCAAAUAAGAAUUUUAGUUCAACUUUAAGUUUUCCUAAAAUACUCUCAAAUCUAAUGAAAACUUAAAACUUAUUUUAAAGAGGGACAGUUCUUUAAAACAAGGGAACAACCUUCAACAGUGGGUAAAUAAACAUAACUACCAUAGUUGGCCUAAAAGCAGCCAUCAAUUAAGAAAGCAUUCUAGCUCAACAAAUUAAAUAGUCCCCAAUCCCAAUAAAAUUAAAUAAACCCCUGAUUAACAAUUGGAUUAGUCUAUAGCUAUACAGAAGAAAUAAUGUUAAUAUUAGUAACAAGAAGUUAUUCUCCUUGCACGAGCUUAAAGCAAAUAUGCAUUUGAUUAUUAACAAUUUAAUAAGAUAAGACUCUUUAUUAAUACUCUUAUUAAACCGAUAUUUAACCCAACACAGGCGUGCUAUUCAGGAAAGACAAAAAAAAGCAAAACGGAACUCUGCAAACACAAAUCCCGCCUAUUUACCAAAAACAUCACCUCUAGCGUUCCCAGUAUGAGAGGCACUGUCUGCCCAGUGACAUCAGUUCAACAGCCUCGGUAUCCUGACCGUGCAAAGGUAUCAUAUCAUUGUUCUUUAAAUAAGGACUUGUAUGAACAGCUAGAUGAGGAUUUAACUGUCUCUUGCUUUAUGUCAGUGAAACUGACUUUCCUGUGAAGAGGCAGGGAUAAUUUAAUAAGAUGAGAAGACCCUAUGGAGCUUUAAUUUAUUUAUUUACUCUGCCCAUCUCAAGCCCACAAGGGCACAAAACACAUAGACCUAAAUUAAUAAUUUUGGUUGGGGGUGAUCUCGCAGAAUAACAAAACCUCCGAAUGAUAUUAACCUAAACAUUACAAGUCAAAGUUCCUAUCACCAUUUGACCCAAAAACCUUUGAUCAACAAACCAAGUUACCCUAGGGAUAACAACUCAAUCCUAUUUUAGAGUCCAUAUCAACGAUAGGGUUUACGACCUCGAUGUUGGAUCAGGGCAUCCUAAUGUUGCAGCCGCCAUUAAAGGUUUGUUUGUUCAAUGAUUAACAGUCUUACGUGAGGUGAGUUCAGACCGGAGUAAUCCAAGUAAUCCAGGUCGGUUUCUAUCUAUUAAUGACCUCUCCCAGUACAAAAGGACAAGAGAAGUAGGGCCAAUAAAUCAGUCAUGCCCU
rnacentral:rRNA from 1 species